GGGCAGCUGCCGAACAUGGUGCACAUGGUGAGCGGCUCCCCGGGGCCCCGAGUGUCUGGCUGCAGGGCUGCGGCCCAGAGGGGCCAUGGGACCCCAGUGACCACACGGGACGGGAGCAGCCGGAGGGACCACCGGCAGGUGCUCAGCUCCCUGGUGUCCGGGGCGCUGGCUGGUGCUCUGGCUAAGACCGCGGUGGCGCCCCUGGACCGCACCAAGAUCAUCUUCCAAGUGUCUUCAAAGAGGUUCUCUGCCAAGGGAGCCCUGCGGCUGCUGUACCGCACUUACCUGCAGGAGGGGCUGCUGAGCCUGUGGCGGGGGAACUCGGCCACCAUGGUGCGCGUGGUGCCCUACGCCGCCAUCCAGUUCAGCGCCCACGAGGAGUACAAGCGUCUGCUGGGCCGCUACUACGGCUUCCGGGGGGAGGCCCUGCCCCCCUGGCCGCGCCUGCUGGCGGGUGCGCUGGCUGGCACCACCGCGGCCUCGCUCACCUACCCCCUGGACCUGGUCCGCGCCCGCAUGGCGGUGACCCCCAAGGAGAUGUACAGCAACAUCUUCCACGUGUUCGCACGCAUCUCGCGAGAGGAGGGGCUGCCCACCCUGUACCACGGCUUCGCACCCACGGUGCUGGGAGUCAUCCCCUACGCCGGCCUCAGCUUCUUCACCUACGAGACGCUCAAAAGCCUGCACCGCGAGUACCGCGGCCCCCGGCAGCCCUCGCCCCUGGAGCGCAUGGUGUUCGGGGCCUGUGCGGGUGUCAUCGGCCAGUCGGCCUCCUACCCGCUGGACGUGGUGCGGCGGCGACUGCAGACGGCGGGGGUGACGGGCCACCCGCGCUCGUCCAUCGCGGCCACUCUGCGGGCCAUCGUGCGGGAGGAGGGCGCGCGCGGCCUGUACAAGGGGCUCAGCAUGAACUGGCUCAAGGGGCCCGUGGCCGUGGGCAUCAGCUUCACCACCUUCGACCUCACGCAGAUGCUGCUACAGCGCCUGCAGGCCUAGCACCCCGGACCCAGGCCUAGCUCCCCCAGACCCAGGCCCAGCCCCCCAGGCAUAGGCUCCCCCAGACCCAGGCCCAGCCCCCCCAGGCAUAGGCUCCCCCAGACCCAGGCCCAGCCCCCCAGGCAUAGGCUCCCCCAGACCCAGGCCCAGCCCCCCAGGCAUAGGCUCCCCCAGACCCAGGCCCAGCCCCCCAGGCAUAGGCUCCCCCAGACCCAGGCCCAGCCACCCAGGCAUAUGUCCCUCUGGACCCAAGCCCAGCCCCCCAGGCAUAGGCUCCCCCAGACCCAGGCCCAGCCCCCCAGGCAUAGGCUCCCCCAGACCCAGGCCCAGCCCCCCAGGCAUAGGCUCCCCCAGACCCAGGCCCAGCCCCCCAGGCAUAGGCUCCCCCAGACCCAGGCCCAGCCACUCAGGCAUAGGCUCCCACAGGCCCAGCCACCCAGGCAUAGGCUCCCCCAGACCCAGGCCCAGCCACUCAGGCAUAGGCUCCCACAGGCCCAGCCUCCCAGGCAUAGGCUCCCCCAGACCCAGGCCCAGCCACCCAGGCAUAUGUCCCUCUGGACCCAGGCCCAGCCCCCUCCAAGUAUAGGCCCCCCCUGCCCGGACUCAGGCCUAGCCCCCCAGUGCCCCAGGUCUAGCCCCCCCGUGCCCCAGGCCUACACCCGGAACCCCAGGCCUAGCCACCUCUGUGCCCCAGGUCUAUCCACCCCUGCCCCAGCCCCUCAGUGCCUCAGGCUGAGCCCCCCAAGGCCCCAGGACUACUCCCCCAAUUUACCCAGUGUCCCCAGGACUAGGCUGUACCCUCCCCACCCCCACACAGCCUGGCCUGGGGGGCCCCCUCCCUCUGUCUCCUGCCCUGGUGUCGCUGCCCCAGCUGUGACCUGGGGGACGCCUCUGCCAGGGGACAGCUCGGGGAGGGACGUCCCCACUGGGGUCGGGCUCCACCCAAACCCUGUUCCUGGGAACCGGGGGCUCCUGCUAUGUGUCCCUCCUUCCUCCCGGGCCUGGAGCCCUGGGCCCUUGGGGGACAGUCUGGGGGGGCAAAACAGGGCUGGGCGGGGGCUCCCGGUGCCCCCACCCCGCCCCAGGGCCUCCCCCGAGGCUGCCAGAGGAGGCGCACACUCUGUAUAUGAUGUUUAUAUAUUUUAAAGAUUUGUGCCAAGAGAGUAUAUUUAAUAAAAAGUAAAAUGAC